rnacentral:rRNA from 1 species
UGGGGAAUUUUGCGCAAUGGGGGAAACCCUGACGCAGCAACGCCGCGUGGAGGAUGAAAUCCCUUGGGAUGUAAACUCCUUUCGAUCGGGACGAUUAUGACGGUACCGAUAGAAGAAGCCCCGGCUAACUUCGUGCCAGCAGCCGCGGUAAUACGAGGGGGGCAAGCGUUGUUCGGAAUUAUUGGGCGUAAAGGGCGCGUAGGCGGUUUGACAAGUCUGAUGUGAAAUCUAUGGGCUCAACCCAUAGCCUGCAUUAGAAACUGUCGGGCUUGAGUAUGGGAGAGGUGAGUGGAAUUUCCGGUGUAGCGGUGAAAUGCGUAGAUAUCGGAAGGAACACCUGUGGCGAAAGCGGCUCACUGGACCAUAACUGACGCUGAGGCGCGAAAGCUAGGGGAGCAAACAG